rnacentral:rRNA from 1 species
GACGAACGCUGGCGGCGUGCCUAAUACAUGCAAGUCGAGCGCAGGAAACUGACGGAACUCUUCGGAGGGAAGGCAGCGGAAUGAGCGGCGGACGGGUGAGUAACACGUAAGGAACCUGCCUCAAGGAUUGGGAUAACUCCGAGAAAUCGGAGCUAAUACCGGAUAGUUCAUCGGACCGCAUGGUCCGUUGAUGAAAGGCGCUCCGGCGUCACCUUGAGAUGGCCUUGCGGUGCAUUAGCUAGUUGGUGGGGUAACGGCCCACCAAGGCGACGAUGCAUAGCCGACCUGAGAGGGUGAUCGGCCACACUGGGACUGAGACACGGCCCAGACUCCUACGGGAGGCAGCAGUAGGGAAUCUUCCACAAUGGACGAAAGUCUGAUGGAGCAACGCCGCGUGAGUGAUGAAGGUUUUCGGAUCGUAAAACUCUGUUGUAAGGGAAGAACACGUACGAGAGGGAAUGCUCGUACCUUGACGGUACCUUACGAGAAAGCCACGGCUAACUACGUGCCAGCAGCCGCGGUAA